CUGAGUCGUCGACACGAGUUGUUGCUGGUCCCUGAACAGGGGACAUGUGCACGCUCUGUUUACACAUCCACUCACACCUGUGCACCCUCUGUAGUUCUAUGGUCUGGGGGGCUCUGCCUCCCUUCUGUGGUUCUGCAUCUUUACACACACACUGUAACAAAGUUUUAUGGAAUGCACAUCGCGUUUAACGCAAUAUAAUA
rnacentral:misc_RNA from 1 species